AAGCAAACAAAAAUCACUAUUGCAUGCUAGAUUUAAGGCAACGGCUAUUUUGCAACGGUUAUCAAACAACUACUUUAUGUUAUAACGACGGAGGGAAAUGCAAUGGUUCUCAAAUCACUACCAUUAACUUAUGAUUACAGUUGCAUUAUGUAGUAGUGAAUAAAAGGUAACUCUCUCAAGUAACGAGUCCAUCAAGCAACAUCAUACCUGCUGUACGGUCAUUCCAUUAAGGUAGCCUGAGAUAUGCUCUUCUUUGAGCGAAGAUUCUUGUGGACCAUAGAUGGAGGGAUUCAGUUUGCUUACAGGAGGAAAAAUCUUAAGCAUUUCGAUGCUUAAAGGGUUUAAACCUCUAAGUGUUAAACGACCAAACUCAUCAUCUCGCAAGCAGCAAGACGCUCCCCCUGAAAGAGAUAUGCCAUUUGGAGGGUCAAAUUUGUAUAUUUCUUU
rnacentral:misc_RNA from 1 species